AAAAAGUUUUAUUUUGGCUUAAGAAUUAGGUAUUAUUUUUUAUUAUAUGUGAAUUUUUUUAAAGAAGAAAUGUUGCAGUAAUUUAUUUUGGUAAUUUAAGUAAUUAAGAAUUAGGGAUAAUAGUGAAUAUAAACAAAAUUUGUGCCAGCAGUUGCGGUUAUACAAAUUAUAUAAUUUAAUUUUUUUAAUUUUAAUUAAUUUGUUUGUUAAAUUUUAAAUUUAAAUUUGAAUGGUGAAAUUUUAAAUUUAUAUUAAUAUUUAUUUUUGGUAAUGAGUUAGGAAAUUUUAAUAAUAAACUAGGAUUAGAUACCCUACUAUUUAAAAUGUUUUUGUAAAAUUAAAUUAGUAUUAGGUAUGUUCUUGAAAAUUAAAAAUUUUGGCGGUAUUUUAGUCUAUUCAGAGGAACCUGUUUUAUAAAUGAUAAUCCACGAUUUAAUUUACUUUUUUUUAUAUUUACAUAUCGUCGUAAUUUAAAUAUUUUUAUAGGAUUUUAAUAUUUAAGAUUUUUAUUAAAAAAUAUAUCAGAUCAAGGUGUAGUUUAUAAGAAAGAAAAAAUGGGUUACAUUAAAAAUAUUUUUAGGAUUUGUGUUAUUAAUAAUGUUUUGAAUUUGGAUUUGAUAGUAAUUUUAAUAAAUUUAUUAAAAUGAUUAAAGCUCUAAAAUAUGUACAUAUUGCCCGUCGCUUUCAUUUAAUAUGGAAUAAGUCGUAACAAAGUAGGUUUACUGGAAAGUGAGUCUAGAAUCAA
rnacentral:ncRNA from 1 species